ensembl:lncRNA
CAGAAGUACAGUUACGUUUUCAUUGCCCACCGACCAGAAGGAUGGAGGCAUGUCCAUGUUUAUCAAUGGAGCCUCAGAGGAGGCGGUUCAUGGCUGGUUCAUGGGGCUGAAACAAUGUGAUGACCAACAUCAUGUUUCUCAACGAGGUACAACUCAUCAUAACAAGAGUGGUGUGAGAUUUAAGCUGCAGACCUUUGCCGGGAAAAUGGUAAACACCGUCUACAGGGACGAGGAAAGUGGCAUCCAAGACCGGGAGGGCAAGGAGGAAUCCAUCUUGGCCCUUCUGGGCAUCGUGGGCACCAUCCUCAACUUGGCGGUCAUCAUCUUCGUCUACCUGUACACUACGCUGUAGAUCUCCCGGUCCACACCCCUGGACCCCACUAUUAAUUAAAGCCCCCCUCCCAUGGUUUUCAUCUCUUCAGACUCUUCUUUUGUCAGUAUCUUUUACGGCACUGGCUCUCAGAAUGACCCUGGGACCAGCGCCUGAGAUGUUGGGCUUCCCCCGCGGCACGCGCGAGCUGAGACUACGUGAACGCCAUGUGGCGUGCAUCCACCUGCGCGGUUCCCAACGUGGGGUCUCGAGACUACCGGAGAGGGGGCUGGCAUUCCCGAUGGCUCCGUCGCCUCCCAAGAAUGCAUAUUGUAGAAUAUUGCUGGCUCGCUGUUUGAUUUCUACAUGACUGACGGAAGGAGAGAGAGAGCUUGGUUCUCCCGCCACAAACAAAACCCAGCUUUCACCAAGGUCCCGGCGAACCAGGAAUGGCGGGGAAAAACAGCUUGAUAGCUGUUGCUAUGGCAGCACGCGUUUGGCAGUGGUUGGACUCAAUAUGAG